UGCCAGCAGCCGCGGUAAUACGGAGGGUGCGAGCGUUAAUCGGAAUCACGUGGGCGUAAUGCGUGCGUAGGCGGCGCAGCAAGUCGAGACGUGAAAGCCCUCGGCUCAACCGAGGAAUUGCGUUUGAAACUGCUGUGCUUGAGUCUCGGAGAGGUUGGCGGAAUUCCAGGUGUAGGAGUGAAAUCCGUAGAUAUCUGGAGGAACACCGGUGGCGAAGGCGGCCAACUGGACGAGUACUGACGCUGAGGUACGAAAGCGUGAGGAGCAAAUACGAUUACACA
rnacentral:rRNA from 1 species